AACUUUCUGAACAUUCGAGACGUGUAGUCCACUUGUCAUUCCAAUCUCCUUUGCAUUAGCGUAGCCUCUUCUGUAGCCUGUCAACUAUGUGUCUGUCUAUCCCUGUUCUCUCCCCUCUGCACAGGCCAUACAAACGCCUCACACAGCGUGGCCGCUGCCACUCUAACCUGGUGGUCCCAGCGCGCACGACCCACGUGGAGUUCCAGGUCUCCGGCAGCCUCUGGAACUGCCGGUCUGCGGCCAACAAGGCAGAGUUCAUCUCAGCCUAUGCUACCCUCCAGUCCCUCGACUUCUUGGCGCUGACGGAAACAUGGAUUACCACAGAUAACACUGCUACUCCUACUGCUCUCUCCUCGUCUGCCCACGUGUUCUCGCACACCCCGAGAGCUUCUGGUCAGCGGGGUGGUGGCACUGGGAUCCUCAUCUCUCCCAAGUGGACAUUCUCUCUUUCUCCCCUGAACCAUCUGUCUAUCGCCUCCUUUGAAUUCCAUGCUGUCACAGUUACCAGCCCUUUCAAGCUUAACAUCCUUAUCAUUUAUCGCCCUCCAGGUUCCCUUGGAGAGUUCAUCAAUGAGCUUGACGCCUUGAUAAGUUCCUUUCCUGAGGAUGGCUCACCUCUCACAGUUCUGGGUGACUUUAACCUCCCCCCGUCUACCUUUGACUCAUUCCUCUCUGCCUCCUUCUUUCCACUCCUCUCCUCUUUUGACCUCACCCUCUCACCUUCCCCCCCUACUCACAAGGCAGGCAAUACGCUUGACCUCAUCUUUACUAGAUGCUGUUCUUCCACUAAUCUUAUUGCAACUCCCCUCCAAGUCUCCGACCACUACCUUGUAUCCUUUUCCCUCUCGCUCUCAUCCAACACUUCUCACUCUGCCCCUACUCGGAUGGUAUUGCGCCGUCCCAACCUUCGCUCUCUCUCUCCCGCUACUCUCUCCUCUUCCAUCCUAUCAUCUCUUCCCUCUGCUCAAACCUUCUCCAAUCUAUCUCCUGAUUCUGCCUCCUCAACCCUCCUCUCCUCCCUUUCUGCAUCCUUUGACUCUCUAUGUCCCCUAUUCUCCAGGCCGGCUCGGUCCUCCCCUCCUGCUCCGUGGCUCGACGACUCAUUGCGAGCUCACAGAACAGGGCUCCGGGCAGCCGAGCGGAAAGCGAGGAAAACUCGCCUCCCUGCGGACCUGGCAUCCCUCCACUCCCUCCUCUCUACAUUUUCCUCUUCUGUCUCUGCUGCUAAAACUACUUUCUACCACUCUAAAUUCCAAGCAUCUGCCUCUAACCCUAGGAAGCUCUUUGCCACCUUCUCCUCCCUCCUGAAUCCUCCCCCCCCCCCCACCCCCCCCCCUCUCUGCGGAUGACUUCGUCAACCAUUUUGAAAAGAAGGUCGAC
rnacentral:lncRNA from 8 species